rnacentral:rRNA from 1 species
CGAAAGCCUGACGGAGCAAGACCGCGUGGGGGAAGAAGGCUCUUGGGUUGUAAACCCCUUUUCUCUGGGAAGAAAGUUGUGAAAGCAACCUGACGGUACCAGAGGAAUCAGCAUCGGCUAACUCCGUGCCAGCAGCCGCGGUAAGACGGAGGAUGCAAGCGUUAUCCGGAAUGAUUGGGCGUAAAGCGUCCGCAGGUGGCAGUUCAAGUCUGCUGUCAAAGACCGGGGCUUAACUUCGGAAAGGCAGUGGAAACUGAACAGCUAGAGUAUGGUAGGGGCAGAGGGAAUUCCUGGUGUAGCGGUGAAAUGCGUAGAGAUCAGGAAGAACAUCGGUGGCGAAGGCGCUCUGCUGGACCAUAACUGACACUCAGGGACUAAAGCUAGGGGAGCG